UGCUCUCCUGGCCUGCUGCCCAGCUGUGUGGCUUUGAGAGUUGUGUGGUGAGAUGGUAGCAAGUGCCAGGCAAUGGCAUCCUUGUGAAGGAGUUGGCAGGGAUGCUGCAGUUUGGAGCAGGGCCGAGGCUGGGAGCUCAGGCAGCACUUGAGGCAGUGCUGUGGGACAGGGAUUUGGUCCUUUUGGCUGCAGGCUUUCCUUGGGCUCUGGUGCUGCUGGGUGUUUGCCCCUGGAGGCCCAGAGCGUGACAGGAGUUCUUUAGUUGCCUGCACUGUGCUCACCUUCCUGCUCCAGUGCCUGUGGAUGCCUUGGCCAGAAGGUGCAGCUCCAUACUGCAGCGAGCAGACCUCCCAAGAUGAACGUCCAGGACUCAGAAGGGACUCACUGCCAGUGCCCAGAGCCGGAGGACCUGGCCUCGAUGGCAAGCUGCAGGGAGGCAUUCCUGGCUGGAGCGUGGCAAAGAGAGUUGGCCGUGGGCAGGCACAAGGGCUCUGGUUUCCUUCUCUCUCUCCCCUUGAGCUCACUCUGUCUCAAAGCAGGGCAGUACCCAGCGCCAAGGCAGAUGUUCACCCCCAGGAGGUCAGCCAGAGCUCACCUUGCCAUCCCCACCUGUGCUGGAGACUGUUCUCAGCGUAGCUGCACUCAGCGGAGUAGCCUUCCCCAUCGGGAGCCUUCCAGCCCCUGGCACACUCCUGCUGCUGCGUGUCUGAGGGGCAGCCAGCACUGAGCACACCUUGCACUCACCCACAGCUGAAGGCCUUCAUCUCCAGAAGGUCUCCAUCCCAGCCCUCUAAGCCAGCCUGGAGGCAGCGACCCAACGCCAGCAGCCUGUGCUUACUCUCCAGCACGUGGGGCUUUUGCACUGGCCACAGAUCACUGCCUCUCAGGAGCUCACUUCUUCCUCCAGCUGUACAGGGCUGCUGAGAGGCUCUCUGCCAGCUGCAGGCACUCUGCAAC